CCGGCGCACGGGUGAGUAACGCGUAUCCAACCUGCCCAUGACUUGGGGAUAACCUUGCGAAAGCAAGCCUAAUACCCGAUACGCUUCAUAGAUGGCAUCUGAAAUGAAGUAAAGGUUUACGGUUAUGGAUGGGGAUGCGUCCGAUUAGCUUGUUGGCGGGGUAACGGCCCACCAAGGCAUCGAUCGGUAGGGGUUCUGAGAGGAAGGUCCCCCACAUUGGAACUGAGACACGGUCCAAACUCCUACGGGAGGCAGCAGUGAGGAAUAUUGGUCAAUGGAGGCAACUCUGAACCAGCCAAGUAGCGUGCAGGAUGACGGCCCUAUGGGUUGUAAACUGCUUUUAUGCGGGAAUAAAGUGAGUCUCGUGAGGCUUUUUGCAUGUACCUUAUGAAUAAGGACCGGCUAAUUCCGUGCCAGCAGCCGCGGUAAUACGGAAGGUCCGGGCGUUAUCCGGAUUUAUUGGGUUUAAAGGGAGCGUAGGCCGGAGAUUAAGCGUGUUGUGAAAUGUAGAUGCUCAACAUCUGCACUGCAGCGCGAACUGGUUUCCUUGAGUACGCACAAAGUGGGCGGAAUUCGUGGUGUAGCGGUGAAAUGCUUAGAUAUCACGAAGAACUCCGAUUGCGAAGGCAGCUCACUGGAGCGCAACUGACGCUGAAGCUCGACAGUGCGAGGAUCGAACAGG
rnacentral:rRNA from 1 species